rnacentral:rRNA from 1 species
UGGGGAAUAUUGCACAAUGGGCGCAAGCCUGAUGCAGCCAUGCCGCGUGUGUGAAGAAGGCCUUCGGGUUGUAAAGCACUUUCAGCGGGGAGGAAGGCGGUGAGGUUAAUAACCUCACCGAUUGACGUUACCCGCAGAAGAAGCACCGGCUAACUCCGUGCCAGCAGCCGCGGUAAUACGGAGGGUGCAAGCGUUAAUCGGAAUUACUGGGCGUAAAGCGCACGCAGGCGGUCUGUCAAGUCGGAUGUGAAAUCCCCGGGCUCAACCUGGGAACUGCAUACGAAACUGGCAGGCUAGAGUCUUGUAGAGGGGGGUAGAAUUCCAGGUGUAGCGGUGAAAUGCGUAGAGAUCUGGAGGAAUACCGGUGGCGAAGGCGGCCCCCUGGACAAAGACUGACGCUCAGGUGCGAAAGCGUGGGGAGCAAACAGG